GACAACCCCUGGAUUUCUGUCUUAUAUGAAAUUUUUUUAUAAUUCGUAUUUUCAUUGUUGUUAUAUGAUAAAAUAUGAUUAAUAUUUUAUGCGUGACUUGUCUUUUUAAUUUUUUUUCAUAAUUUUUUUAAAUAAGACGGACGGUCAAACGUUGGGUAUGGAAACC
rnacentral:pre_miRNA from 1 species